GACGAACGCUGGCGGCGUGCUUAACACAUGCAAGUCGAACGGAAAGGCCCUGCUUUUGUGGGGUGCUCGAGUGGCGAACGGGUGAGUAACACGUGAGUAACCUGCCCUUGACUUUGGGAUAACUUCAGGAAACUGGGGCUAAUACCGGAUAGGAGCUCCUGCUGCAUGGUGGGGGUUGGAAAGUUUCGGCGGUUGGGGAUGGACUCGCGGCUUAUCAGCUUGUUGGUGGGGUAGUGGCUUACCAAGGGUUUGACGGGUAGCCGGCCUGAGAGGGUGACCGGCCACAUGGGUACUGAGAUACGGACCAGACUCCUACGGGAGGCAGCAGUGGGGAAUAUUGCACAAUGGGCGGAAGCCUGAUGCAGCAACGCCGCGUGCGGGAUGACGGCCUUCGGGUUGUAAACCGCUUUCGCCUGUGACGAAGCGUGAGUGACGGUAAUGGGUAAAGAAGCACCGGCUAACUACGUG
rnacentral:rRNA from 1 species